GCGGCCGGGUGGUCCUCCUGGGUGCCUCAGGGGCCCGGGGAGCAUGGGUCAGGGCGAGUGGCUGCUCCCUGGCCUCAGGUUAUCUGGGUGCCCGGUGAGUGAGGCAUGGCAGGCGAUACCGGACCCCACCCACCGCGUAUACCUCUGGAAUAGCGAUUGCCAUGAUUGAUGUCAGUAGCCUGGGCUGGGAGCCUGCAGGUAAUCAGAACUGCGAAGAUGAUUGGGUCACAGCCAGGAGACUGAUUUUGUAUCCAGAAGUUUCUGUUUCACAAUCACUAAACUACUCAUGCUCAAAGAUUAGUGUCAACAAGAAAUAAACAGACUCUGAUACCGAUAUAAAAUGAACGCGCGUUCAAGAUUUCCUUCAACUCAUUGUUAGCGCAGAAACCGGUAAGAUGUGCCAGCCAGGUCAAAGGAGAAGUGACAAAGGCACCUGUGUACGCGGAGUAAAGGGAUACAGGUA
rnacentral:lncRNA from 10 species